UCAGACAUGGUGCAGCGGGAACAUAGCGUCUUCUUCUGAAUUUUGCGAUGGCUGUAUUUACAGAGGCAGUCCAGGGUUCGAAUCCCUGUGUCUGAA